AACAGACCGCCGAACGGACAGAGUUUUUCCUGUACCGCGGACAGAGUCUCCCAUGUACGUCCAAGGCGUCACAAUCCAUACAAUGCGCGAGGUUCCAACCAGGAACAGCAUUCAAACAUAGAAUGCAUAAGGAAGGUAUCGAAAACAUAAAUACUAAUUAUUACAAGCAUUCAACUCACAUACACUUUUCAUAUUACAAUCUCAAUUCUUUUUAGCUUCCAAAUACAAUCUAGCUUUAACAUGAUUAUCACAACUUAUUACAACUUGGUUCUUUUCCUUUCACAUCCCUAAGUUAAGCUGACUCAGGGUACUGCUAUCUCUGGUCUCAGUGGUAAGGUGCUAUCUAUGGAGCUACGCCCUUUCCCCGCGCCGCCGUGCCGCUCGCGUGUGAACCUGAAACCCCAAAAACCAUGUGGGGUGAUAACUAUAUAAAUAUAGUUUUCAGUGGGUACGGCCACCCAAGGGAAGAGCUCGACCCACCAGGUCUAAAGAAGGCACUGCAACAAGUUAGUCCAACAAAUAUCCAUAGAUAAUAUAUGCAAAUAUUAAACAUGCGCAUGCCUCACAAAUUCAACUAUGCAAAUCAUGCAACUAAUGCAAGUAGAUUACUUGAUUCUACUCUAUAUCAUUUAUCAUUCUUUAUCAUUUACAAUUCUUUAAUACUAGUCAUUUUUUACUAUUUGUCAUUCUUCAUUGCUAAUCAUUCUUUAUAUUAUUAGCUAUUCUUUAGCAUUAGGCGUUCUUUAUUCUUUAUUCUUAGUCGCACUAUGCUCAUUUGCCAUUCUUUCCUAAGGUUACUUUUACCUUAGCCAACUAUGCCACUCGACUCGAUCUUGAGUCAAUCCUCUGCGGAUAAUCCGCGUUCUAUCCGGCUCAAGGCGAAGGAACUCUCACAUACACCUCGGCCUUAAAUCCUCUCGACUGUAGGUCCACCACGAGGUGAGGAAACCGUCGAACCCCCGGACCACAAGUCGCUCAAUGGACCUACGGGCAAAGAGAACCAACAUACCCGCGUCUACAUUCUCAUGGCAUACCGGGCGAGGAGAACCAACAUACCCGUUAAAUCACUAUCGGGCGAGGAGAACCAACAUACCCUUUCACGCCCCGAGCCUAGCGAAAGCCCGCUCGGUGCGUGCACAGACCCACCGUGUACACCAAACAACCAUAAUGCACACAAGGCGUCUACCAAAAUAAGAAAUGAACGCAGUAAAGUCCUAACAAGGCUAUCAGAGCAAGUAAUAUAAAAUCACUAAUGUUCUAUCACAAAGAGAUCCACAAAAAUAAUAUACAACUAUAUAUAAUAGAAUCCAAGAGUCUAAUAUUAUCUCUAAAUCAAAUACAUAAUACAUCUUUCCACAAUAUACAAAAAGAAAGAUGAUGCCGGUUCCCACUAAAUAUCUCUGUAGGGGCUCUAACUAGUCGCUAACCCCUUGCCACGAUCCCUAGCCUCUCCCGCCGCGGAAGGCUUUGAAAUAAAAACUAUCAACAAAUGGGGAUGAGAACUAUUAAACAAUAGUUCCCAGUGGGUAAGCCGCCGAGAGUGGUGAAAUACACCACUAGAUCAACUGAGGCAUGCUAUAAAAAGGCAAGUAAACAAACAACAUAUGUCAAGUAAAUUAACAAGUUUAAAUAUAGUCAUGCCUCCACUAUAAAAUUAACUAUCAUAUAUAUGAUGUUCUAAUUUCAUAUGUUCCAUUAUAUGCCAAUGUCGAUUACAUGCAUAUUCAACUAUAUGCCAAUGUCAAUUAUGUGCAUAUUCAACUAUAUGCCAAUGUCAAUUACAUGCAUAUUCAAUAUGUCCAUAAGGCUACAAAGAGUACAUUAUGCUUUCAUUAUUAUUCUAUCCAUGCGUCUAUACUAAUCAACAUCGAUGUAAACAUACUACCACUAAAAUGUCAAUGCCAUGGAUGCCUAUCAUGAGGUCCACAAUAUACACUAUCAUAUGUGUCCAAUAGUCCAACUACUAUAUACCAUUUUGUGGUUAUAGUCAUAUUAAUGGUUGAAUGUCAUUAUCCAAUCUCAACUUGGGACCUACACAAGUGUAGUCAAGCUUGCUAAUGGCCGGUGGUAGUCCAACAUCCCCCCGCAAGGAAUGAGCCUGUCCCACAACGACCCAGUAGAUACCAAAUCCCGCACGGGCGAGUAUAUAUCACAUAGGCCAACUCUGGAGUGCCAGCUUGUGGGGAGCGACCCUCAUAAGCAUGUGCGAAUGAGCACAAAUGGCAUGCAAGCGUGAUCAUUAUCUCAAGUAUACGGUCGUCAUCUCUCCAAUAUGGUAUAAAUACUAGCAACCCAAAGGUCUAGUUCUAUGUCACAGUGUAAAGGUUUAACCGUUUACUAAGUUUAAUGCCACUUUAUGACAUUAUGGUUUACUAUGUUUAGCACAUGUCCGAUGUUCAUGAGUAAAAGCUUGUCAUUAUCCUAUCUAGGAUAGUUCACCCUUAUUCAAGUCUCAAUGAGAGUUCACACUUAUACUAUUCCACAAUAGCUGAGGGAAUCACCUCCUUGUGCGAUAUGCAUAGGUAUUACAAGAUACAUACAAUGCCAUGAUGCAUGUCAUGCAUAUACUCUACCAACAAGGUCUCCGCUACAAAGAGUAAUAAAUUAUUAUGCAAGUGAUUUCAUUCAAAUAAUGCCACAUGCAAUUAUCCAUCUUGUCAUUCGCCCAAGGGCGUUCCAAUCAUUAUCCUCAUGUCUACUACAUGCACUACAAAAAAAAUUUAGUAUAAGGACGCUUUUUAGACGACACUUAGGGGAAGCAUCCCCAAGCCUUUUUACAAUAUAGAAAAUAUCGUCGCUUCAAAAAGCGUCGUCAUAUGAUAUCAAACAAUUUAUUAAAUGAUGAUAAAUUUCACUAUUAUUUUUAAUUUUUCGACGCUUUAAAGCGUCAGGAUUUCAAAAAUCCUAACACUUUAAAGCAUCAGAAUAUAUUUUACCGACGCUUGGUAUAAGCGUCAAUAUAUGCGUGGCGACUCUUCAUUUGCCCACUGAAGCCAGUAAUUGCCCACUGGGAACUAUUAUUCAAUAGUUCUCACGCCUCCUGUUUUAUGGUUUUAUUUCAGAGCCUUCGGCACCAGCGGAGGGACGAGAUCGCGGCAAGGGAGCAUGUAGCUACUUAGCUGGGAGCUACUUUUGAGCUUAGCUGGGAGCUACUUUUGAGCUUAGCUGGUUUGCUCUUUCUUUUAUUGUUUUAGAGAGAGAGAGAUUUUGCACCAUGUAUAGAGAGACCACCUAUGUACCUUUCUAGCACUUAUUUAUUUUUGUGACUCAGUUGUACUACUUUAUGUUUCUUCUAGUGGAUUUUAGUUUAUGUUCUCUUUCCUUAAUGUAGCUUCUAGAUAUACUUCGCUCUGAUGCUUCUAGAUGUUCUCUUUUAUCGUCUUAUUUAUCGUUUUGUUCUAGACGCCUUGUAUGUUUGAGAUAUACGGCGGGUCUGGGCACACCAGGGGCGGGCUUCCGCUGGGUCUCAGGGCGUGACACAUUAUUAGCCAUUUGGUAGUACCACUCGGCUCUCUACCUGCUCCAGGAGGCGCCACACUAUCACAAUGCAAGCAUGCCCGGGUAUCUACCUACCCGUCCAAUGGGUCCCUACUAUGCAAUGUACAACCAGUAGCAACUGACCAUUUAAAUAAUGCAUGCUAUGCAACAACUUGAUAUCAUAUAGCAGUAUAUGCUUGCUUUAACUACUCAUACCUGCCAUGACGUCGUCUGCAGCAGCAGGUUCCACUACUCGGGUCGCGUAUCCAUGGCUACUUAGCGCUCGCCACGAACCCACCGGUUGCAUCGUCCUCAACGGCCGCUCUCCCGACCAUGCCACAGGUGGCACACCUGCACACUGUCCCAGAGAGGAAUUGGCUAUCGCCAGCAUCAAGGCCCGGCCUUCACCUUGCGGACACUGGUCACGCGUAUGGCCCGGCAGCCCACACUUGAAGCACUUGCCCUCUCGCUGCCCACACUGUUGUGGGAAACGAAGGCCCCCACAAAUAACACAUCUCGUCGAGGACCGAAUGUGGUAUGUCCCUGGAGCUCGGGAUCGCGAGCGCGAACUCGUCGAAGUUUGUUAGGAACUUGACUGACCAGCGGAUCCGCUCAUUGGUCGUCCUUUCCCCUUUUCCUUAAUAUGACUCUCGCUCCUCCUGUAUAAUUGCGUUGCCUUGUUCUAUCCACAGGGCCCGAUACAGGACUUCAGCAAAAGUCUGUAACUUAAGUAUGAGCACAGCCUUAUAAAGGUUUGGCCGAAGUCCACGCACAAAGCAAUCGGCCUUAUCCUUAUCACCCCGUACCAUGUUCGGGAUACAAUGCACGAUACGGAAGAAUUCCCGCACGUAUUGCCUGACCGAGCGGUCUCCUUGCCGCAGCUUCCGGAACCUUUCCUAAAGCUUCCUUUUCUCGCUGUCGGGGAAAUAAGCAGAGAAUAGAAUUCCCCGAAACUCUUCCCAAGCCAUAGGAGGGAGACUAGGCGAUCGAUCUCACUUAACGCCCUUCCACCACACCUUCACCGACUAUUUCAAGUAGUGCACGGCUAGGUUUACCUUGUCCCGCUCCACCGUGUACAGAUCCUCGAAAAUUGUUUCCAUAGAAUCAAUCCACAUCUCCACGAUCCACGGAUCUGUAUCCUCUCCAUCGAAGGUAGGCGGAUCAAACUUCUUGAAAGCCAUGAGGGCCGCCAAAGCUCGCUCCCUCUCCGUCUCUACCUCUGAACUGAUAGGAGUCGGAUCACCCGACCCCGACGGAAAUAUCUCCGCCGCAACUUUCGGCCGUUCUCGACGAGCCGCAGCUAGUGCUGUCACCAGCUGAUCCACCGUUUCUUAGAGUAUUUUCAUUCGCUCCUCCUGGCGCAUUGCAGCCUCCUACUGACGCUGCACCACUUCAACCUGUUGCCUCUUCACUCCCACGAGUGUGGCCAACUGAUCAUGAAGCUCUGAGUCUCCGCUCACGUCGGUUUGCUCAGGGACACCACUUGUCCGCUCCCGCGCCGAUCUGGACGAAGAUCGCCGGUGCCAUCGUUUCCUGAAACAUGACAACUCUAUUAGUUCUCGACCAUCUUGGGCCAAAUACGUGACCACUAAACCGGCUCAAAAACCAAUCAGGCGAAAGUCACGCAAGGGUGUCUAUUCUCAUUACUAGGUUUCAUGUUGUCGUACGCCAACAUGAACAUCCUCAGCUGAGAAUAAACCACACCUCGAGUCUACCUCUAAUAUUCGUCUUAGAGGUUCACGACACAACCCAAUCCAUUACCUUUCGCCACCAAUCACAAGUCCUCGUCUCUCACGAGCCUUAUUCUCCUAUGGUUUACUAUCCUAGGGUCUCCUAGGUCUGCCUAAACCAUUCCUAUUUUCUACUUUAUGCUCUAAUACCAUCUUAUCUGUCACGCCCCAUGCCCCACCUAUUUGGUCGGGUUCGGGCUCGCCAACAGACCGCCGAACGGGCAGGGUUUUUUCUGUACCGCGGACAGAGGCUCCCCUGUACGUCCAAGGCGUCGCAAUCAAUACAAUGCACGAAGUUCCAACCAGGAACACAUUUCAACCAAAGAUUGCAUAAGGAAGUAUCAAAAACAUAAAACAACUAAAUUAUUACAACAUUCAUCUUUAGGUGCAUUUUACAUCACAAUUACUAUUACAUUUUUUCAACUUCCGAAUACAAUCCAAGUUACAAUAAUUUAUUACAAGUUUAAUCCAUUCAUCUUGUUCUUUUCAUUUCCCUCUACCCCUAGGCUUGCCGACUCAGGGUACUGCUAUCAGAGUCUAUCGGUAGGGCGCUAUCUACGGAGUUAUGCCCUUGCCUCGCGUCGCCGCGCCUCUCAUGUGCGAACCUGUAACACCCCAAAACAUCGUGGGGUGAGAACCAAAUCCAUGGUUAUUAUGCAACUAACAGAUAACAUGCCUCACAAAAUGCAAUAUGAACAUUAUGCCAAUCCUGUAACUCAUGCAAGUAGAUUAAUUGAUUCUACUUCAUACUAUUAGCCAUUCUUUACUUGUAGACAUUCCUUACUUUAUCAGCUAUUCAUAUUCAUUAGUCGUUCUUUACUUUAUUUCCUUGUCACACUAUGCUCAUUGGCGAUUCUUUCCUAAGGUUACCUUACCUUAGUCAUCUAGCCACCCGACUCGGUCUUGAGUCAAUCAAUCGCGGAUAGUUCGCGCACUGUCUAGCUCGAGGUGAAGGAACUCUCACAUGCACCUCAGCUGGCAACAGCUCACCGUACUCCUGUCCUAGCCGUCUGGUGGCGAACAAUCGCAC
rnacentral:lncRNA from 1 species